rnacentral:tRNA from 1 species
GCCCCCGUAGCUCAGCAGGAUAGAGCACCAGAUUCCUAAUCUGGGUGUCACGUGUUCGAGUCGCGUCGGGGGCACCA